CUCCGUUAAAUCCAGCGAUUCAAUCGUGUGGACUGCGGGAGAUACUGCUGGACUAGGGGACGGGAGAGGCCGACGGUAUUCCCGGAGUAGGGGUGAAAUCCUAUAAUUGCCGGGACGACCACCAGUGGCGAAGGCUGUCGGCUAGAACGAGCUCGACGGUGAGGGACGAAAGCUGGGGGAGCGAACCGGAUUAGAUACCCGGGUAGUCCCAGCUGUAAACGAUGCGGGCUAGGUGUUAGGGUGGCUACGAGCCACUCUAGUGCCGCAGCGAAGGCGUUAAGCCCGCCGCCUGGGGAGUACGGCCGCAAGGCUGAAACUUAAAGGAAUUGGCGGGGGAGCACCGACAAGGCGUGAAGCGUGCGGUUUAAUUGGAGUCAACACCGGAAACCUUACCGGGGGCGACAGCAGGUUGAAGGCCAGAUUGACGAUCUUGCCAGACAAGCUGAGAGGAGGUGCAUGGCCGUCGCCAGUUCGUGCCGUGAGGUGUCCUGUUAAGUCAGGCAACGAUCGAGACUCACGCUCCCUGUUGCUACCAAGGAAAGUCUCCAAGGAGCACUCUGGGAGGACAGCCGCCGACAAGGCGGAGGAAGGAGUGGGCCACGGCAGGUCAGUAUGCCCCGAAUCCCCCGGGCCACGCGUGCUGCAAUGGCUGGUACAAUGG
rnacentral:rRNA from 1 species